AGAGUUUGAUCCUGGCUCAGGAUGAACGCUAGCGGCAGGCCUAAUACAUGCAAGUCGGACGGUAGCCGACCCUUCGGGGCCGGCGAGAGUGGCGGACGGGUGCGUAACGCGUAUGCAACCAACCCCCCACAGCGGGACAGCCGGUGGAAACGCCGGGCAAUCCCGCAUGCCGCCGUGUCGGGGCAUCCCGGCAUGGCGAAAGGCUACGGCCGGUGGGGGACGGGCAUGCGUGCCAUUAGCUGGUUGGCGGGGCGACGGCCCACCAAGGCGACGAUGGCUAGGGGAUCUGAGAGGACGGUCCCCCACACUGGUACUGAGACACGGACCAGACUCCUGCGGGAGGCAGCAGUAAGGGAUAUUGGGCAAUGGGGGGAACCCUGACCCAGCCAUGCCGCGUGAGGGAAUGGGGCCCUACGGGUCGUGAACCUCUUUUGCCGGGGGACAACGGCGGCGUCGAGAACGCCGCGUGCGGGUACCCGGCGAAUAAGCGUCGGCUAACUCCGUGCCAGCAGCCGCGGUAAUACGGAGGACGCGAGCGUUAUCCGGAUUCAUUGGGUUUAAAGGGUGCGCAGGCGGCCUGCCAAGUCAGCGGUGAAAGCCCGGGGCCCAACCCCGGAAGUGCCGUUGAUACUGUCGGGCUGGAAUGCGGUCGAGGCGGGCGGAACGUGGCGUGUAGCGGUGAAAUGCGUAGAUAUGCCACAGAACGCCGAUAGCGGAGGCAGCUCGCCAGGCCUGCAUUGACGCUCGGGCACGAAAGCGUGGGGAUCGAACAGGAUUAGAUACCCUGGUAGUCCACGCCGUAAACGAUGGGCGCUCGUCGUCGGCGGCAAACGGUCGGCGGCCAAGCGAAAGCGAUAAGCGCCC
rnacentral:rRNA from 1 species